rnacentral:rRNA from 1 species
GAUGAACGCGGCGGCGUGCUUAACACAUGCAAGUCGAACGGAGACUUUUUCAGUGCAACCUUCGGGGAGCAAGAGAAAGUCUUAGUGGCGGACGGGUGAGUAACGCGUGGGCAACCUGCCUCGCACCGUGGGAUAACAGGGGGAAGCUCCUGCUAAUACCGCAUAAAGUAUAUAGACGCAUGUCAAUAUACAAAAAGGGAUACCGGUGAGAGAUGGGCCCGCGUCCGAUUAGAUAGUUGGCAGGAUAGCAGCCUACCAAGUCAACGAUCGGUAGCCGGCUUGAGAGAGUGGACGGCCACACUGGGACUGAGACACGGCCCAGACUCCUACGGGAGGCAGCAGUGGGGAAUAUUGGACAAUGGGGGCAACCCUGAUCCAGCGACGCCGCGUGAGUGAAAGAAAGUAUCUCGGUACGUAAAAGCUCUAUCCAGC